AUGGGCCUGCAGGCCCUCAGCGACCGUCCUGUUCUUCCUUCGCCGUUUUGGGAUGCAGGCGUGCAGCAAGGGUGCAAUCUUGCGAACGGAGCGUCCAUUGAUCCACCGGUCCUCCCAAAAUUUGGUGUUGUGGUCGUUCCCAAUGGACGUGUGGGUGCUGGCAAAGAAGAAGGCCUGCUCCUCAGUAGAGAACUGGAGGUCGAGACCAGCCCAUGCACGAUGCUCGUCGGUUUUGCUGAACCAGAGCCAACGGGUCCUGAGCGCCAUGCCGGUGCGCUCCAGAUCAUGCACGCCCAGUCCGCCGAGGCUCCUGGGGCGCGAGACGCGAUGCCAGUUAACGUGGCAGUGGCCUCCCUUGGCCUCGGCGCGCCCGACCCAAAGGAACCCUCACUGGAUACGCUCAAGCAUGCAGAGGAUCCUCUUUGGGGGCGCCAAAACAAGCGGCUGGUGCAGCGGGAUCGCGCUGAGCACCGAUUUCACCAGCGUGAGCCGGCCUGCUCGGUUCAUGAGCCAAGCCUUCCAGGUGGGCAAUCUGCCCGCCCUUUGUCGACGAGGGGGAGCAGCUGCGCGGUGGUGGGGCGUCGAAUGGUGAGCGGGAUGCCGAGGUAA
rnacentral:rRNA from 1 species